AGUUACUGUCCAUGUUCAGUCCUGACCUGAUCGCUCCACAUGUGCAUCAGGGCUCGGUGAAGCCCAGGUACCGAACACACAACACACCAGAGUAAGUCCACGCACACAAACGCUGCUCGACGCCUGUGUCACACGUGGGAGCAUUUGUUUCAGGAGUUUGUUGGAGGAGGCCGAGGAGCUGUCACUUUCGCACUAGGUGACAAGAAAUGAUGAAAAAUGCCACAAAAUGACUCCUCUAUCGUCACGUAUUUCAUUCCCUCCACGUCUGUGCAGGUGACGGGCUGGAAGCUUGUGCUGCUGUUCGUGCCCGUGGAUUCCAGGUGUGCCUGUUCACCAAAUGUGGGCUCCUCUGCUUCCUACGUACAUGUCACCGCUCACAUUGUAUGUAAGUGAUAGUAGGAGUGUGUGUGUGUGUGUGUGUGUGUGUGUGUGUGUGUGUGUGUGUGUGUGUGUGUGUGUGUGUGUGUGUGUGUGUGUGUGUGUGUGUGUGUGUGCGCGCGAUCUCUCUGCGUGAUCUAGGUCGCUGCGGAUGUCGAGGCUGUGGUGCAGGACGUGGAGGCAGCCCUGCAGAUGCUGCAGAAGCGGAUGCGUCACACUUUGGUUCACGUUGCUGUCUGGAGCACACAUCAAGAAAAGGAGGAUCGGUGUCAGUGUUUGGGAGGCGGCAGCACAAAGCAGCGACUGUACAAAGCAGCUCUCCUGAAAGCACUGCAGGAUUCGCUGAGUCACGCCUUGGAGAAUCCACAGUGGCACAGCCGCAGCGAGGCGUUCAGCGCCGUGCUGCAGUCUGUCCCAGCUGUCCCUGAAAGCAACUCAGACUCCGACCUGAGCCAGACAGCUGUUGAGCUGUGGACAAACCUGGUAGGUUCCUUUAAUGAGUGA
rnacentral:lncRNA from 1 species